rnacentral:rRNA from 1 species
ACACAUGCAAGUCGAGGGGCAGCAUCAUUAAAGCUUGCUUUGAUGGAUGGCGACCGGCGCACGGGUGAGUAACACGUAUCCAACCUGCCGACAACACUGGGAUAGCCUUUCGAAAGAAAGAUUAAUACCGGAUGGCAUAGUCUUCCCGCAUGGGAUGACUAUUAAAGAAUUUCGGUUGUCGAUGGGGAUGCGUUCCAUUAGGCAGUUGGCGGGGUAACGGCCCACCAAACCAACGAUGGAUAGGGGUUCUGAGAGGAAGGUCCCCCACAUUGGAACUGAGACACGGUCCAAACUCCUACGGGAGGCAGCAGUGAGGAAUAUUGGUCAAUGGACGAGAGUCUGAACCAGCCAAGUAGCGUGAAGGAUGACUGCCCUAUGGGUUGUAAACUUCUUUUAUACGGGAAUAAAGUGAGCCACGUGUGGCUUUUUGUAUGUACCGUAUGAAUAAGGAUCGGCUAACUCCGUGCCAGCAGCCGCGGUAAUACGGAGGAUCCGAGCGUUAUCCGGAUUUAUUGGGUUUAAAGGGAGCGUAGGCGGGUUGUUAAGUCAGUUGUGAAAGUUUGCGGCUCAACCGUAAAAUUGCAGUUGAUACUGGCGACCUUGAGUGCAACAGAGGUAGGCGGAAUUCGUGGUGUAGCGGUGAAAUGCUUAGAUAUCACGAAGAACUCCGAUUGCGAAGGCAGCUUACUGGAUUGUAACUGACGCUGAUGCUCGAAAGUGUGGGUAUCAAACAGGAUUAGAUACCCUGGUAGUCCACACAGUAAACGAUGAAUACUCGCUGUUGGCGAUAUACGAUCAGCGG